GGGAAUAUUGCGCAAUGGAGGAAACUCUGCCGCAGUGACGCCGCGUAUAGGAAGAAGGUUUUCGGAUUGUAAACUAUUGUCGUGAGGGAAGAAAUUGACAGUACCUCAGGAGGAAGCUCCGGCUAACUAUGUGCCAGCAGCCGCGGUAAUACGUAGGGGGCAAGCGUUAUCCGGAAUUACUGGGUGUAAAGGGAGCGUAGACGGUGAUGCAAGUCAGAAGUGAAAGCCCGGGGCUCAACUCCGGGACUGCUUUUGAAACUGUUGAACUAGAUUGCAGGAGAGGUAAGUGGAAUUCCUAGUGUAGCGGUGAAAUGCGUAGAUAUUAGGAGGAACACCAGUGGCGAAGGCGGCUUACUGGACUGUAAAUGACGCUGAGGCUCGAAAGCGUGGGGAGCAAACAGG
rnacentral:rRNA from 1 species